AGUGAACGCUGGCGGUAGGCCUAACACAUGCAAGUCGAACGGCAGCACAGUAUGAGCUUGCUCUUACGGGUGGCGAGUGGCGGACGGGUGAGGAAUGCAUCGGAAUCUACUUUUUCGUGGGGGAUAACGUAGGGGAACUUACGCUAAUACCGCAUACGACCUACGGGUGAAAGCAGGGGAUCUUCGGACCUUGCGCGAUUGAAUGAGCCGAUGUCGGAUUAGCUAGUUGGCGGGGUAAAGGCCCACCAAGGCGACGAUCCGUAGCUGGUCUGAGAGGAUGAUCAGCCACACUGGAACUGAGACACGGUCCAGACUCCUACGGGAGGCAGCAGUGGGGAAUAUUGGACAAUGGGCGCAAGCCUGAUCCAGCCAUACCGCGUGGGUGAAGAAGGCCUUCGGGUUGUAAAGCCCUUUUGUUGGGAAAGAAAAGCAGCAGGUUAAUACCCCGCUGUUCUGACGGUACCCAAAGAAUAAGCACCGGCUAACUUCGUG
rnacentral:rRNA from 1 species